CCUACGGGAGGCAGCAGUGGGGAAUAUUGGACAAUGGGGGAAACCCUGAUCCAGCGAUGCCGCGUGUGUGAAGAAGGCCUGCGGGUUGUAAAGCACUUUCAGUUGGGAAGCGUUACUAACAGAAGAAGCACCGGCUAACUCUGUGCCAGCAGCCGCGGUAAUACAGAGGGUGCGAGCGUUAAUCGGAGUGACUGGGCGUAAAGGGCACGUAGGCGGUUAGAUUAGUCUGAUGUGAAAGACCUGGGCUUAACCUGGGAUGUGCAUUGGAAACGGUCUAGCUAGAGUUUGGGAGAGGGAAGUGGAAUUUCCGGUGUAGCGGUGAAAUGCGUAGAGAUCGGAAAGAACACUCGUGGCGAAGGCGGCUUUCUGGCCAAACUGACGCUGAGGUGCGAAAGCGUGGGGAGCAAACAGGAUUAGAUACCCUUGUAGUC
rnacentral:rRNA from 1 species